rnacentral:misc_RNA from 1 species
GAUGAAUAACGUAGCGAAAUGCGAUAAGUAAUGUGAAUUGCAGAAUUCAGUGAAUCAUCGAAUCUUUGAACGCACCUUGCGCCCUUUGGACAUUCCGAAGGGCAUGCCUGUUUGAGUAUCAUGAACACCUCAACUCUCACGGCUUGUCCGUGAUGAGCUUGGACUUUGGGGGUCUUGCCGGCCUGUGGUCGGCUCCUCUCAAAUGGAUCAGCUUGCCAGUGUUUGGUGGCAUCACAGGUGUGAUAACUAUCUGCGCUUGUGGUUUUCCAUCAGAUAACCUUCAGUGAUAUGGAGGUUCGCUGGAGCUCACAAAUGUCUCUCCUUAGUGAGGACAGCUCUUUGAACGUUUGAUCUCAAAUCAGGUAGGACUACCCGCUGAACUUAAGCAUAUCAAUAAGCGGAGGA